GAUACCCGCUGAACUU
rnacentral:rRNA from 1 species